ACUUCUUUCCUCCCGCUGCUCCCACCUCUCCCAGACUUGUCAGCGGCUGGACGCACUCCCCGCUGCACCUGCUCGCCGGUGCGGAGCCUACCUCCGCCUCCCUCGUCAGCUACGCUAGCACAGCCACCAAGAGAAGAGACACGCGCCCUCAUCGGCGGACCUCGCCGCCUCCAGCUCCCACAGGGGGCGACUUGGACCGCCCCAAAGAGGUGACUGCAGCUGCCGCCCUCGGCUUCCCGCUGCCGUCAUCUCCUUCUCCUUGGCGGCUGUUCAGAGUACGUGCAUCAUGGUGCCAGGCGCAGCAAGCCCACGGGGGCACUUAGCGUCCUCGAGGCAGCACCGAUCAUCUGCUAUUCGUGGGCAUCAAGUGAACCCGAGGCUCAUUAUCUCGCUGUUUUGCCGUCUACUUCCAUGGCGAUGUCUCUCGCUGCACGGAAGAGCAGAAUCAGCUCGACCUUCAUGGAGCCACGGUGUGCCGAUUCGCCCCGGAUGCUGUCACAGUAGCACUGCAAGACGAUGCCUCAGCCUAUUACAAGAGAUGGAGGCUACUUUCUGGAUGCCCUUGACUUCCUUGACGAAAUGUGCAGGACAGAGAAACUGCGAUCGACCACAACAAUGACAUGGGCGAUCAACUGGGAAUAUACCAAGAUACAGCAAGCAGGUUCUGACAGUGUAAUCAGACAGACUGGUGUAAUUUUCUCUGAGCACACCUCGAAGCCUUGCAAAGUUAGGCUCGUCGUCUUCGCGUUCCAGAUACGUACCCAGCUCGUUGCACAAUUUAUUGCAGAAUUUACCCGUGAGUACAUUUUCACAGCUCAGUUGGCAGGCCACACUAUAAAGAGCAAGCGGAAGACCACCACA